UGAAGCCACAAUCAUCUUAUACAUACAUGGAGAAGCACGUCCAGGCACUAUUGAUUCUUCUCGUAUGCUAUGCUGUUCAUGCACAAUGUCGAGCCACAGGCGUGCAUCACAUCGACGACGAUACGUGCUACAAGAGUGACACCAUCCUGUCGUGCUUUUUGUGUUACCCCGAUAACCAUUGCUUUAGGACGAUGGACGACUGCAAAGCCCACUGCAUACGACCUCCGGUGGCCGCAAUCCCAUCUUAUGCACGUCCAUGAGCGUGGGCGGUUAGUAUUAGCUGGAAGAAUGUAUUAGAUUUGUGUUAUGUGCCGAUGAGGAACGGAAAUUGGGAAUGGCUCCUAGGUGCAUAUGCAUCCAUUGUCUAAAUACACAUUUUGAAAAGUUGAAAAAUUCCAAA